UACUAGGUACUAACCCCGAGCCGCCGAGGGUGAGGGUAGAUCGUGUGGACGCAGACGCCUUCCAGAGUCGAGGUUCUUUUGAAUCCUGGAGCAAACGCGGAUUUCUGAGGAGCCGCGCAGGUUUGGCGCAGGGCCAGGGUAUCCGUGCGCCCUCGCUUUGAGCUGGGGGGUCGGGCACGCGGAGACUGGGACAGGAAGGUGAGCGACGUGAGGGGAAGCGUGGGAUGCUGACGCCGCCCCAUCAUAUGGGGGCCUUCGCGUUUACCAGCACCCGAGAAGGCCCGGUCACCCGCUAGGUUCUCACUGCGCUGGGCCGCUGCCCUCCCCUGUGCAGCAGAGCCUAUGUGGCAGGUGGGGGCGCCGAUGAGGCUCGGUGGGGACAUCUCCUUCCUCUUGGGCUCAGGAGGGUGCAGCCUAACUCGCCAGGAAGGAUUUUAUUGUGGUGUCAAAGCAGUGGCCACAAGCCACAGAGACCUUUAUUGAGCGCUGGCAGUGAUGCUCCUGCCUCUGAGAAACUCAUUUGCACACAUUAUUUGAUUUCACCUAAAUUUAAAUAUCUGCGUGCGGCUGGUGCCUGAGGCUCUUUCUUUCCCCAUGUGUAGUUUUACACAGUAAUAGACCAAAGCCCCGUUAAUAAUACUCAGCCAGUCUUCCUGUGCAACCUCUAAUCCUCUCCUCCAGGCACGCUGUCUCCUGCCCUAAUUACGCUGACCUCUCCCUCGGAGGAUUUUUUCGAGUCCCCGAAACAAAUCUUUCUUGAGCACCUACUUACUGUGUGUGAGAAAUGGCGACCCAAAGCUGCACUGGACGUCAGCCCCCUACAUGAGGGGAGGAAGGCCCCGCGGCUGUGUAUUUGAUCACACCAGUGUUUGGGGGCAAAGCCUGAAGCUUGAUGGAGACCCUUCGGCUCUUGGAUUACGGUGGACGGGUAGCUCAAGGCAGAGCUGAGAUUGGGGGCCAGAGGGAGAAGCCCAGGGUUGGACCCUCAAGGGUUCCACAGGCACCAGGUCUAAGGUGUGGCCAUUCAGCCUGUGUGUAGCUAUGGAUCCUGCAAGUUGCCCUCUGUGGAGCUCGGAGUGGGGGGGACAGAGAUGAUCAACAAGGAACACACAAGCAACAGCUUUGGGUUGGCGACUCGGAAACUACUGGAGAAAGCGGGGGAACAUGUCCACCCGUGCUCUGCUUCUGUACCAAAACGGGAGAGAGGCUGAAUGAAAGGGCUCAGAGAUGGAGGGAGGAGGCCAUGGCUCAGCCCAGGCCACCACCCUGGAGGCCAGUGGCUCUGGGAGCAGAACACCGAUGGUGCACCAGCCCAGGGUGCCAGCAUGAGGGUGGCAAUAGAAGCUCAUUGCACCCUGAAGUCCCUUCUCCCCACUUCCUGGUCAAGGAUUCUAAUGCUUGCCUGACUCAGUUUGGCAAGAGCUGUGGCCAGAGAAGGGGGCUUCCUAGUGACAGGAGGGAGGAUGGCUGUGCCCUCAGUCAGGGUCACUCAGCAAAGGCUAGAGGCAGUUUCCACCCUGCACCCAUUGCAUGAGCUCCCAGGGAGGGGCUCAAGGUAGGACGGAGGCUUCGAUGUCCCCUAGGCGCGCCCCUGACAGCCGAGGCCUCUGGUAUCUGGGAAUGAUGUGAGCGAGCUCAAGGGGAAAAAUAAUCUGCUUUCUGCAAAGUAUAAACCAAAGCAGAUUUAAUGAGUUCAGUUUCAUUUCAGCUGCUAAGAAUGCACACUAAAUAAGAGUAGCACAGAUGCAAUAAAAGUUUCUUUAUCUGUCAUGGGGACAUUCGCAGCAAACCCCGUAUGGCUGAUACAGGCUGUGUGUCUGUGUGAGUAGGUUGGUAUUUUCCUAUCAUAGCUUCAUGGUCCAAGCUGACAGCUAAGGCUCCUGCCAUGACAAAUACAUUCCAAGGAGCCUGAUACUGCAAGGACUGAGGGAGGAACAAAGAUCAGGUUGGCUUCAGAACCAGUGUAGCAGCACAUUUCUGUAAUCCCAGCACUCAGGAAGCUGAGGCAGGAGGAUUGCCUUGAGGCCAGCCUGAGCUACACAGGGAGUUCAAGGCCAGCUUUAACUACAUAGCAAGACCUUGUCUCAAACCCCUCACAUCUAAAGUUAUAUGGGCUUGAGAUAGUUUUUUUUUUUUUUUCCUUUUUUGCAGUACUGGGGAUGGAACCCUUGUGCAUGCUAGGUAAGAGCUUUGUCCCUGUUCUACUUCCCCUAGCCCUGACUUCAGAUUUCAUAACAUUGACAUUUGAGUUAAGAAAAAGUUCAAAUUGCUUAAAAAUAUCAAAGACCUGAGUGUAGUGAUGUACACCGUAAGGCAGGAGGAUUGCCACAAGUUCAAGGCCAGUCCGGGCUAUAUAGCGAGCUCCUGCUGGAAAAAAUACCAAAGAGGAAAAAAAAGUAAAGUGUCAAAGAAAAAUAGCUUCGAACCCAGAUUUGGAUUUCCAGAAAGGAGAUAAAACCAGAAAGGUUGUAAUUCAUAGCUCCUCUUUAAAAACACUUGGUGGGGAAGCACUCCACAAAGAAGAAAAUACACUAGCAGUGCCCAGCAACAAUGGCAGGGAAGAGGUGAAAUCAAGUGUCUAAAUCCACCACACUGGGCGGUGCUGGCCAGGCCCACCCCCAGCCCCACCCUGCCCCAGCCUCGUCCCUUUUAUGAGCAUAGAGUCGAGGUUAUGAUCUUGCCCAGGAAGUGGUGAGGAGGGGCAACCAGGUCUCCGCAGCUGGCUGGUGCCAGGGCAGUGGUGGAGAUGUGGAGACUGAGGCUAGGGCAAGGCUCAGUCGCCUGUCUGAAUUCACACAGGGGGAGAAGCCAGAAUGGCCAGCCUCUUCUGAUGCCAACCUGGCUACCUCCUGAAUGACAGAGGCGACCUUGGAGGUCCUGUGGGACUGCAGCUGAAAAAGACAGGCAGAGGAGCUUCUGCGACUCCCUGGGUCCCUGCACGUUCUUCAUGGAAGUAGGUGGAAAAGCUGGGUGUGGCAGCACACAUCCGUGAUCCCAGCAUUUGGGAGGCUGAGGCAGGAAGGUCACUAUGAAUUCGAGAGUAGCCUGGGCUACAUAGCAAGACUCUGUCUAAAAAAAAAAGCAAUAAAGUUGAUGGCAAAGUGA